UACUGACUAAGAUUAAUACAAGUAAACGUUGUAACUCUUACACAGCCAGGUAAGUUCUUCUUAACAAUGACAAGGAAAAACAAAAAUAAGUAUCUAAUCGAAGCACUUUCAAUAUCGCAAAUCCCAAGAAAAACUGUAAAAAGUAAAUCCACUAAAGUUUAAAACAAAAAUUCAGAACCAUUAGAGCAGGAAAAAGAAGAGAGAUUUUUUAAUACAAUACAUCUCAGACACCA
rnacentral:lncRNA from 1 species